rnacentral:rRNA from 1 species
CCUACGGGAGGCAGCAGUGGGGAAUUUUGGACAAUGGGCGCAAGCCUGAUCCAGCCAUGCCGCGUGCGGGAAGAAGGCCUUCGGGUUGUAAACCGCUUUUGGCAGGAACGAAACGGCGUCCUCUAAUACGGGGCGUUAAUGACGGUACCUGCAGAAUAAGCACCGGCUAACUACGUGCCAGCAGCCGCGGUAAUACGUAGGGUGCAAGCGUUAAUCGGAAUUACUGGGCGUAAAGCGUACGCAGGCGGCUAUGCAAGACAGAUGUGAAAUCCCCGGGCUUAACCUGGGAACUGCAUUUGUGACUGCAUGGCUAGAGUUUGUCAGAGGGGGGUGGAAUUCCACGCGUAGCAGUGAAAUGCGUAGAGAUGUGGAGGAACACCGAUGGCGAAGGCAGCCCCCUGGGACACGACUGACGCUCAUGUACGAAAGCGUGGGGAGCAAACAGGAUUAGAUACCCUGGUAGUCCACGCCCUAAACGAUGUCGACUAGUUGUCGGGGAUUUACAUCUUCGGUAACGCAGCUAACGCGUGAAGUCGACCGCCUGGGGAGUACGGUCGCAAGAUUAAAACUCAAAGGAAUUGACGG